GUUAUAUUUGGAGGUUUGCGUUGUAUUUGGUUUUGAUUGGUUUGUUUGGAAGCUAGCGUGGUUCAAUUGGUUAUAUUUGGAGGUUUGCGUUGUAUUUGGUAAGCGAGUCUAUUUAUGUUUUGGCUGAUUUUGAUUGUAUUUUAUUUGCAGGUUUUGAUUGGUUUGUUUGGAAGCUAGCGUGGU